rnacentral:lncRNA from 10 species
CUUGAACUCCUGGCCUCAAGCUUUCCUCCUGCCUCAGCCUCUCAAAGUGCUGGGAUUAUAAGCAUGAGGCACCACCUAACUAACCCCUUCUUAAAUACCGUUUAAGUUUUUCCUAUUAAAAACAAACAAAACAUCCUUUGUCAAAUACAGAACUUCUUCCAAUACCACUCAAAAUAGCUCCUCUCUUUCACAGUCCACUUCUUAAAAUAGAUGUCUCCAGUUUCUAUCCUUCAAGUCACUCUUCAACCCAUUGCAAUUUACACCUGCAGUUCCCCAACAGGACAGCUGCUCUUAUGGACUUUACAAAAUAGUAAGAAAAUAGGUUGUCAAUUGCUGAGUAACACACUACCUCAAAACUUAGUCAUUUAAAACAACAGACACCACUGAUUAUCUGCCAUGAUUCUGUGGGUUGACAAGGCUCAGUUAGACAAUUCCUCUGUUCUGCACAGAACUGCAGUCACCUGGAGGCUUGACUGAGCUGGAACAUCCACUAUGGCUCAUUGACAUGGCUGGCAGAUGGUGUUUGCUUUUGGUUGGGAACUCAGCUAGAAGUUAGUCCUUCUCCUCCUGGCCUCUCUACAUGUGGGCUUCUCUCAACAUGAUGGCUGAAUUUCAAGAGGAACAAUUUCAACCUUGUGAAAAUAGAAGCUGCUCAGCCUCAGAAAUUAAAGAACCUCACUUCUGCCACAUUGGUCAAUACAAGUCCAAUCCAGCCCAGAUUCAACAGAAAGCAAAUAGACUUCACUUCUUGAUAGAGAGAACAGCAAAUAAUUUACAGCUAUCUUUAAUGUACCACAGUUAUUAAUGAAUUUCUUUAUUGUUAAAUCCAAUGAAAACAUUGUAGUCCUUAUUUUCUGUGGCACCUUGAUUCUGGAAAUACUUUCUUCCUUCAACUUUCAUGACAACACACUCUCCUGCUUGUCCAGGCACUUCUAGGGCUUCUCCUUCUCUUUUUUGGGAAGAAUCUUUUCCUCAAAGUCAAAUAUUACUGUUCCUUGGAAUUCCAUCCUUCUUCUUCUUCUAUUAUCACUAUAUUCACUCUUACUGGGCAUUCUAAUAAACUUACUAGGCUUCCAUUACUAUCUACAUACUAAUCACUCAAAUCUAUACUAUACUCACAGUUCAUAUUGCUCACUUUAGUUUCAAAUCUAGAUAUCGCACUCUUUAUUGAUCAUCUCUAGUCUCCAUUUGAAUAUCCAACAAGUAUCACAAAUUCAAAAGGUCUAAAACUGAGCUUGUUGCAUUUUCUCCCAAAGCUCCUAUUUCAAUGUUAUCUGUUUCUAUGAAUAGCACCAUAUCCCUUCAGUUACAUGAUGCAGAAAGCUAAACAUUUUUCCUCUUCUAUUUUCUUCAACCCUACAUUCAGUCACCAUAGCUAGUUAAUAUUAUAUCUUUAACAUUUUUCAAAUUUGUCGUCAGCCUCUGUUCUCUAACACUUCAGUAUUGAACUCCAGUUUAGACUACUAUCAUCUUUUAUCUGUUUACUCCAGCAUCUUGUAUCAGUCUUCUUACCUCCACACUGGCCUCCUCUUUAAUCCAUUUUUCAUGCUGUCAGAGUGAAGUUUUUAAUGGUAAAAUCGGAUUACAUUGUGCUCAAUUCAGCAACACAUAUACCAAAAUUAGAACAAUUCAGAGAAGACUAGUAUGGCCCUUGUGCAAGGAUGACUUAAGAUUUGCAAAGCAUUUCAUAUUUUUUCUGUAUCCAAGGGCACACAAUGUACUGGAGAUGAUCAGUAAAGAGUAGGAUAUCUAAAUUUGGAAUUAUGUAUUAUAAUUUGCAUGACAAUAACAACAAAAAAUGAGGGGAAAGGGGAUGGGCUAUAUGGGAACAAAGUUGUGUAUAUUAUUGUAAUUAAGUUGGCAUUAACUUGAAAUAGAUUGUUAUAAAUUAUGAUGUUGUAAUUCUAACAGCAACCUGUGAUGAUUAAUUUUAUAUGUCACCUUGACUGGCCUAAGGAAUGGGAAUGCCCAGAUAGCUGGUAAAGAAUUAUUUAUGGGUGUGUCUGUGAAGGUGUUUCUUGACAAGGUUAGUAUUUGAAUCAACAGACUGAGCAAAGAAGACCCACCCUCAUCCAUGUGGGUGGACAUAAUCUAAUCUGUUGAAGGCAUGAAUCAAAUAAAAAGGCAGAGGAAGGGUUAAUUUUCUCUCUCUUCUUGAAUUGGGACAUUCGGCUUCUCCUGCCCUCAGAUAUUGAAACUACUGGUUCUUGGGCCUUUGGACUUCAGGACUUCCAAUGCCUCCACAACUCAAGUUCUCAGGAAAUAGAGUUCCACCAGUGUACACCCUACACCAGGAUUAAAGUUUUCAGGACUGGGACUUAUGUCAUCAGGUAGUCUUGUUCUCAGGCCUUUGAACUUAAAUUAUACCACUGACUUUCCUGGUUUCCCAGGAAAUAUGCAGACAGUAUAUCAUUGGACUUCUUGGCCUCCAUAGUUCCAUGAGUCAAUCCCUAUAAUAAAUCUCCUCCUACAUAUCUCUAUAUAGCCCAUUGUUUCUGUUUCUCUGGAGAACCCUGGCUAACAUACACCCACUAAGAAAACAAUUCAAAAAUAGCACAACAGAACACUAGGUAGAGUUCUAAGGUUUUUUACUCUAGUUCUUGGUGCCUGGAUGGCCCCCCGACCCACACAAGACCUGGGGGAAUUUGCUGCCCUGAAGAGAAGGACAUAGGCCUGGCUGGUUUUGCCAGCUAAUGAUUGUAGAGCCCUAGAGCAUUGAGUGAACAUAAGUGGUAGCCAGGGAGUGGUUACAGCAGGCCUUGGGCCAGACCCAGUGCUGUUCUCGCUUUAGGUCUGACCCAGCACAGUCCUAAGGGUGGUAGCCACAGGGGUGCUUGUGUCACUCCAUCCCCAGCUCCAGGUGGCUCAGAACAGAGAAAGAGAGACUCUCUUUGUUUGGGAGAACGUAAAGGAAGAGAAGAUGAGUCUCUGCCUAGUAAUACAGAGAAUUCUUCCAGAUCUUGUCCAAGAACAUCAAG